AGUGAACGCUGGCGGUAGGCCUAGCACAUGCAAGUCGAACGGCAGCACAGUAAGAGCUUGCUCUUACGGGUGGCGAGUGGCGGACGGGUGAGGAAUACAUCGGAAUCUACUUUUUCGUGGGGGAUAACGUAGGGAAACUUACGCUAAUACCGCAUACGACCUACGGGUGAAAGCAGGGGAUCUUCGGACCUUGCGCGAUUGAAUGAGCCGAUGUCGGAUUAGCUAGUUGGCGGGGUAAAGGCCCACCAAGGCGACGAUCCGUAGCUGGUCUGGGAGGAUGAUCAGCCACACUGGAACUGAGACACGGUCCAGACUCCUACGGGAGGCAGCAGUGGGGAAUAUUGGACAAUGGGCGCAAGCCUGAUCCAGCCAUACCGCGUGGGUGAAGAAGGCCUUCGGGUUGUAAAGCCCUUUUGUUGGGAAAGAAAAGCAGCAGGUUAAUACCCCGCUGUUCUGACGGUACCCAAAGAAUAAGCACCGGCUAACUUCGUG
rnacentral:rRNA from 1 species